rnacentral:rRNA from 1 species
UACGGAGGGUGCAAGCGUUGCUCGGAAUUAUUGGGCGUAAAGGGCAGGUAGGUGGUCUUAUUUGUCUUGUGUGAAAUCCUUGGGCUUAACUCAAGAAGUGCGCAAGAAACGGUAAGACUAGAGUCCUAGAGAGGCUAGUGGAAUUCCCGGUGUAGCGGUGAAAUGCGUAGAGAUCGGGAGGAACACCAGAGGCGAAGGCGGCUAGCUGGAUAGGCACUGACACUCAACUGCGAAAGCGUGGGGAGCAAACAGG